GGUUAAGAUGCAGUGUAUAUGCAAGUGGACCCCUCAUUGGAAGGAUUUGGCAUGGCUCAAAUAAACUUCUGUGUUUCUUAUUCUGAAUAGAAAUGAACAGCUGUCUUCUCACCUGGAGGUGUACGCUGUACAGGAAAUUUUGCAGAUGAGGAAAGGAGAGAGCCUGCACUAUGUCUCCCUCAUUGAGAGACAAAACUGUUGUAUUCACUCCUAAUGUAAUUUCCAACUUCAGUAGAAGAAUAUGAUAUUUAUUUUUAAAAUACCGCAAUUGUGUUCAGCUGCUCAGGAGGAAGCCUUGAGUCUGUGGCAAUGGAGAGCACUAGAAAAGGGACAGGAGGGAGCUCAAAAGAGGCUGGAAGAACCAAGCAGUCUUGAAGGCGGAAAGGUUCCAAAGAAUUCUGUACAAUGGACACAUGUUCUUAACUGAUGGAUGCUUGUAACAGUCGGUGCAGCGCUUUGGGUAGAACUCGGGUAUGUGUUGAGCAUUUCAGCCCCAAGUCAGCAAAGCUGACCUGAUGGAUCAGGUCCGAUGCUUUGCAUCUCAGUUUUCUAACUGUUUGAACAGACGUUAUUUUUGAAGAAUAAAUCAUUUAACCUGGUUUCCUAAGGAGUUGUGCUGUCUGCAAUUGCUCUGUAUGCUCCCACAUACGUCUCUUAGUUCUGAUCACCCAAAGACCUAUUUAAACUAAAUUUAUCUGAAGGAGGAGGUACAUUUCUGCAAGUUUUGUGAAGCUAGAAAAGAG
rnacentral:lncRNA from 1 species